UCGGCUGUUAAUGUGGAGGUGUUUGGUGUUAAUAGGAUCUCAAAAUCUUUUAGAAUUAAGUGAAUUGAAACUUAAUACGUUUCCUCGUCAAAUUCAACGUCAUGCUUUUGUCAGGGAUAUUAUCUAUGGAAUAUGAAUUAAACGACUAGUGAACAACGCGAGCCAACUGUCUAUUAUUUGAAGUGUCAUAGACGAUAGAUGUAUAAAUUAUCUAAAUGAAUUGUGCUGUCAUAUGUUACGUCUGGAAUCUUUUUAUUUGUUUCAGUUCUAGAUGCCUGUCAUAUGUGUUUUGAAUUAAUACCGGUAUGUUGUUUUUAUUUUUGUGCUUAACCGCAUCUGUGCGGAUGUAUUAUACUGGUGGCGAUGUAUUUUUUGGGCAGGGGUUCAUGUUUUUGCACAGCGCCCCUAUAUAUAUAUAUAUAUAUUAUUGUUAUUAUUUUGCUCACGGUUAGGCCCUACCGAACCACGUGCAGUUUUUUGUCUGUGUCCAUAGUACUACCAUUCUUAAAGAAUAGGCUCAUUUACGCUCUUCAGACCAACCUGUUCUUCGAUUUUUCUGCCAGACCAGUUGGGUCAUUCCAUGCUAAACUGAGCCUGAGGCUUAUUUUUUGGAAAAAUGCCAAAUUUAACGAUGUUAUAGUUUUUCGAAUCUACAAAAGUUGAAUUUUACUGUUCUGAAAAAAUUAUAAAAAUUACAUAAUUAGCUGAGGAAAUAUAGUUAAACGAAGUUGGCGAUUCUACAGAUGGGGAUGGAAAACAAAAGGUUUGCUUUUUGUGUUGGCAGCUGUUUAAAUUUGGGUUGCAGCGAUUGUUGAUGUUUUAAUUGUUAAAUUUCAAGAGCAGAAUCUUAUCUUUCUGACAAACUUCAGUUUUUAAAGAAAGAAAAUGGGGAAAACAACAUCAGCAGUGCGUAUGAGAAAACUUCGAGAAAAACUGAAGUAAGAUACCAGCAAGUACAAUGUCCAUAAAGAAAAAGAAAGAGAGCAGGAUAAGAGAAGAAGGGAAAAUAUGAAGAUGAAGGUAUCCUCCAGUGGAAAAUCUUUAUUGGAAUAUCAGUAGAAGGAAGCUGAAAGAAAAAGGAAGUACAGACUUAAACUAAAGUCCGUAUUAGUUGAAGAUCAGUCUGAGACCUGUAUUUCCCAGUUAGGAUCAUAUAAAUGUCCUCAGUCCCUUGGCAAAGCUGUUUCUCGGGUAAAGAAGGUGCUUCCUUCAAGCCCCUCAAAAGAAUCAGCAGUAAUAAAAAAGCUUGUAAGUGAAAGCUUACCUAAAAAGGUAGUAAAGCAGAUUUUCCCAGUAGUGAAGAAAACAUCUCGUAAGCUUACAGGUGAUAAUCUGCUCAAAAUACAAAAUUUUUUCACAAAUGAUGAAAUCGGCAGGCAGACACCUGGUAUAAAGGAUGUAAAGUCUAUUGUAGACCAUGAAACCGGGAAAAGAGUUAGCUUGCAUAAAUGUCACAUGAAUAUGACAGUUAAGGAAGCAUUUUUUUCUUUUUAAGCAAGACAAUCCAGAUAUUGCUAUAAAGAUUUCAAAAUUCUACGAGUUGCGGCCAAAAAAUGUUGUUCUAACGUCUCAAAUGCCUUGCAAUGUAUGUGUGUGCAGAUAUCAUGCUAACUUCAACUUCAUCAUUGAAGCCAUUCACAAAGAAAUAGCUAGUUUCCCUGCUACUCACACUCACCUUAUGGAUCUUGUUUGCUGUGAUGUAGAAAGUGAAAUAUGCAUGACAAGUCAGUGCAAGAAAUGCUUCAUGAAUUUACACACAUUAAUAGAUGGAAAGUUUGAUUUGUGUGACAUAAUAUCUUGGAGAAAAUGGACCGAACAUGAGUGUCACCCUAAACAGACUACUACCAGUGGAACACUUUGUGAAGCUCUCUCUGAACUUCAGUCUCAACUAAAAACAUUCAAGGAACA